rnacentral:misc_RNA from 1 species
GAUGAAGAACGCAGCGAAAUGCGAUAAGUAGUGUGAAUUGCAGAAUUCAGUGAAUCAUCGAAUCUUUGGACGCACAUUGCGCCCCUUGGUAUCCCGAGGGGCAUGCCUGUUCGAGCGUCAUUUCACCACUCAAGCCUGGCUUGGUGUUGGGCGACGUCCUCUUUGGGGACGCGCCUCGAAACGCUCGGCGGCGUGGCACCGGCUUUAAGCGUAGCAGAAUCUUUCGCUUUGGAAGUCGGGGCCCCGUCUGCCGGAAGACCUGCUCGCAAGGUUGACCUCGGAUCAGGCAGGGAUACCCGCUGAACUUAAGCAUAUCAAUAAGCGGAGGA